GACGUAUGUUGACAUGCAUCCACAACUGCAUGUUGCGACUUCGCAUGAUCGCUAUGCACGACACAGGGAUGAGGCAUUAGCUGGGGCGUUCGAGGCAUGUAGGCUGCUUGAAUUAGACUGCUCACUGAAUGUAAUGAGGAUUCAUGGCGGGUCUACGAUGAGCGUGCCGGCACAACUCGAGGCCUGGACCACUCAACGUGAUAGAGCCCGAGGUAUGCUUCAGGCCUUUGGUAUGCGGACGGAGUACGAGGAUUCCUACGGAUCGUCGCAAGCGUCGAUGUCGGUUCCCUGUGGUCCCGCAUGGCAGCAGCCUCCCUUAUACCACCGACAGGCAGAAGGUAUGGUGUGAUAUUUACCGAUCCGUAUGUUUAUAUGCAUUAUUUAAAUACGACUCCACACAGGGUACGGGUGCCCCAGUUCUCAGCCCUAUGGAGGGCCAGGUGCCUCGCAAGGGGCUCCAUUUCAUGGAACCCAGUUUACCUCUAUGCCACAUGCUGGAGGGACUUUAGGAUCACAACAGUUCACUGGAGCGGGACCGUCUUCGUAUCACCCUAUGCCGUCA